rnacentral:rRNA from 1 species
AGUGAACGCUGGCGGUAGGCCUAACACAUGCAAGUCGAACGGCAGCACAGUAAGAUCUUGCUCUUACGGGUGGCGAGUGGCGGACGGGUGAGGAAUACAUCGGAAUCUACUUUUUCGUGGGGGAUAACGUAGGGAAACUUACGCUAAUACCGCAUACGACCUACGGGUGAAAGCAGGGGAUCUUCGGACCUUGCGCGAUUGAAUGAGCCGAUGUCGGAUUAGCUAGUUGGCGGGGUAAAGGCCCACCAAGGCGACGAUCCGUAGCUGGUCUGAGAGGAUGAUCGGCCACACUGGAACUGAGACACGGUCCAGACUCCUACGGGAGGCAGCAGUGGGGAAUAUUGGACAAUGGGCGCAAGCCUGAUCCAGCCAUACCGCGUGGGUGAAGAGGGCCUUCGGGUUGUAAAGCCCUUUUGUUGGGAAAGAAAAGCAGCAGGUUAAUACCCCGCUGUUCUGACGGUACCCAAAGAAUAAGCACCGGCUAACUUCGUG